rnacentral:rRNA from 1 species
AGAGUUUGAUCCUGGCUCAGGAUGAACGCUGGCGGCGCGCCUAACACAUGCAAGUCGAACGGCACCCCUCUCCGGAGGGAAGCGAGUGGCGAACGGCUGAGUAACACGUGGAGAACCUGCCCCCUCCCCCGGGAUAGCCGCCCGAAAGGACGGGUAAUACCGGAUACCCCGGGGUGCCGCAUGGCACCCCGGCUAAAGCCCCGACGGGAGGGGAUGGCUCCGCGGCCCAUCAGGUAGACGGCGGGGUGACGGCCCACCGUGCCGACAACGGGUAGCCGGGUUGAGAGACCGACCGGCCAGAUUGGGACUGAGACACGGCCCAGACUCCUACGGGAGGCAGCAGUGGGGAAUCUUGCGCAAUGGGGGGAACCCUGACGCAGCGACGCCGCGUGCGGGACGGAGGCCUUCGGGUCGUAAACCGCUUUCAGCAGGGAAGAGUCAAGACUGUACCUGCAGAAGAAGCCCCGGCUAACUACGUGCCAGCAGCCGCGGUAAUACGUAGGGGGCGAGCGUUAUCCGGAUUCAUUGGGCGUAAAGCGCGCGUAGGCGGCCCGGCAGGCCGGGGGUCGAAGCGGGGGGCUCAACCCCCCGAAGCCCCCGGAACCUCCGCGGCUUGGGUCCGGUAGGGGAGGGUGGAACACCCGGUGUAGCGGUGGAAUGCGCAGAUAUCGGGUGGAACACCGGUGGCGAAGGCGGCCCUCUGGGCCGAGACCGACGCUGAGGCGCGAAAGCUGGGGGAGCGAACAGGAUUAGAUACCCUGGUAGUCCCAGCCGUAAACGAUGGACGCUAGGUGUGGGGGGACGAUCCCCCCGUGCCGCAGCCAACGCAUUAAGCGUCCCGCCUGGGGAGUACGGCCGCAAGGCUAAAACUCAAAGGAAUUGACGGGGGCCCGCACAAGCAGCGGAGCAUGUGGUUUAAUUCGAAGCAACGCGAAGAACCUUACCUAGACUUGACAUCUCCUGCAUUACUCUUAAUCGAGGAAGUUCCUUCGGGGACAGGAAGACAGGUGGUGCAUGGUUGUCGUCAGCUCGUGUCGUGAGAUGUUGGGUUAAGUCCCGCAACGAGCGCAACCCUU